AGCAGUUGAUUGUUUUAAAGACAAUUGAAGAAGAUUCAAGAUUUUAUUGACCCUCAGCCAGAUUCUUCGAUUCAAUGGGGCUACUCUAUAUGGAGUGCGAGUUUUGGCACCCUUCAUAUCACAUUCCAAAGAUGAAGAUUACAACAUCAAGACGAUCAAGGGCUUGAGCAUAUCAUAGCCUCAUGGUAGCUUUGCGGGACUUUGAAGAUUCAGCCUAACAAAGUACUUGAAGAGCACUAAAA
rnacentral:lncRNA from 1 species